CAGCACCUCAAGUGGUCAGGAUGAUUAUUGGGCCUAAAGCAUCCGUAGCCGGCUCUGUAAGUUUUCGGUUAAAUCUGUACGCUCAACGUACAGGCUGCCGGGAAUACUGCAGAGCUAGGGAGUGGGAGAGGUAGACGGUACUCGGUAGGAAGGGGUAAAAUCCUUUGAUCUAUUGAUGACCACCUGUGGCGAAGGCCGUCGACUAGAACGCGCCCGACGGUGAGGGAUGAAAGCUGGGGGAGCGAACCGGAUUAGAGACCCGAGUAGUCC
rnacentral:rRNA from 1 species